CUUGGUCAUUUAGAGGAAGUAAAAGUCGUAACAAGCGUUUCCGUAGGUGAACCUGCGGAAGGAUCAUUACUGAGAGAGGGACCUCGCGUCCCCCGGGGGCUUCGGCCCUCCACCUCUUCAACCCGUGCUUAUAAACCUCUGUUGCUUUGGCGAGCGCCGGGGUGCCUCGGCCCUGACCCUAGGGUCGCUGCGUUCUCGCCAGAGCCCCCCAACCAUUCUGUUUAUUCAGUGACGUCCGAGUAUGAUCAAAAUUUAAAUCAAAACUUUCAACAACGGAUCUCUUGGUUCUGGCAUCGAUGAAGAACGCAGCGAAAUGCGAUAAGUAAUGUGAAUUGCAGAAUUCAGUGAAUCAUCGAAUCUUUGAACGCACAUUGCGCCCCUUGGUAUUCCGAGGGGCAUGCCUGUUCGAGCGUCAUUGCAACCCUCAAGCUUCGCUUGGUAUUGAGCUCUUCGCCGGAGACGGCGUGCUCGAAAAUCAGUGGCGGUCCAGGGAGACUUCAAGCGCAGUAAAACUUUCCGCUUUCGAGGCCUUCACCUGUGGCCAGCCGUAAAGCCCCCCAACUUUUCAAUGAUUGACCUCGGAUCAGGUAGGGAUACCCGCUGAACUUAAGCAUAU
rnacentral:rRNA from 1 species